rnacentral:rRNA from 1 species
AGUGAACGCUGGCGGUAGGCCUAACACAUGCAAGUCGAACGGCAGCACAGUAAGAGCUUGCUCUUACGGGUGGCGAGUGGCGGACGGGUGAGGAAUACAUCGGAAUCUACUUUUUCGUGGGGGAUAACGUAGGGAAACUUACGCUAAUACCGCAUACGACCUACGGGUGAAAGCAGGGGAUCUUCGGACCUUGCGCGAUUGAAUGAGCCGAUGUCGGAUUAGCUAGUUGGCGGGGUAAAGGCCCACCAAGGCGACGGUCCGUAGCUGGUCUGAGAGGAUGAUCAGCCACACUGGAACUGAGACACGGUCCAGACUCCUACGGGAGGCAGCAGUGGGGAAUAUUGGACAAUGGGCGCAAGCCUGAUCCAGCCAUACCGCGUGGGUGAAGAAGGCCUUCGGGUUGUAACGCCCUUUUGUUGGGAAAGAAAAGCAGCAGGUUAAUACCCCGCUGUUCUGACGGUACCCAAAGAAUAAGCACCGGCUAACUUCGUG